rnacentral:rRNA from 1 species
UACUUAUCAACAUCCCCUCCCAUAGUUCACGGAGAUGUAAAAUCUCCAAACAUUCUCCGAGGCGACAACCACACAGCAAAAGUGACUGAUUUUGGAGCAUCAAGAAAAAUUCCUACGGAUGAAAUACAAUUUAUGACAAUGGUACAGCGAACUAUAGGUUAUCUUGACCCUGAAUACUUGCAAGAGCGUCAACUAACAGAGAAGAGUGAUGUUUAUAGUUUCGGAGUUGUGCUCCUAGAGCUGAUUACAAUGAAGUUUGCAAUUUAUUCUGACAGUGCUGGAGAAAAGAAAAACCUUGCAUCAUCCUUCCUUCUGACAAUGAAAGAAAGCGAACUUCAAUUCAUCUAGGACAAGAAUAUAUUGGAAUUUGAAAUGAAGCUGCUCCAAGAAAUUGCUCAAUUGGCAAAGUGUUGCUUGAGUACGAGGGGGCAGGAACAGCCGUUAAUGAGAGAAGUCGCUGAGAGGUUGAGACCAAUACGAAGCACCUGGAGAGAACAAUUGACUCAGAAUCCUAGCAAGGAAACUGAAUGUUUGCUUGAGAACUCGUCACACUAUGACCCUUCUAGCACUGGACAGCACGGAAGUCUGAUGGCGCUAGAUUUAGAAAGUGGUAGAUGA